GGCAGAACACCUGGUCGAUAGGCCGCAGGUGCAAGCACGGCGACGUGCUCAGCCGAGCGGCACUAAUAGCCCGAGCUCC
rnacentral:rRNA from 1 species